UUGCGAUACCAAGAUUUUUUUGGAGAGUCUCAAGUCAAUUGAUGAACUGAAUAAUGCUCCUGGUCAAACGGCAACAUUUGGUGUCACUCACUUUGCUGACAGAACUGAGCAUGAGAAGAAACGGAACUUUGGACUAAUGCGCCCUUAAUUGAACAAGAGGAUAUAAUGAAACUAAGAAUUGUAUUUUUUUUUUUCUUAAAGCACUGUGACUGUAUGAAUAAUGUGAUUAAAGAUUUUUCAAUUCACAUUUUAUAAGAUUAAAAUGUAUUUUUAACAUUGA